CCCAUUUCCAUGACAUAGUAGACAGGGCCCUGUUUGUCUUUACUAGGCCCGUUAGAAAGCACAGUUGAAUUCCCCAUGUAAUGAGAGGCUUAGAAGGAACCUUAAUGAGGACUGUGUUUUGAGUAUGUCUCUUAAUUAUAUCAUUAAAUUUUACAGUCCCCUGUACCUCCACCCCCAAGCCCCCAGAGGUUGUUUGUCCCCUUUUUACAAAUACAAAAGAAGCUGGCAGAAGUGGUUUGACUUGCACAGGGGUCACAAAGCUUUUAGGUGGCAGAGCCAGUAAUCGGGCCCAGAUUAAAUCCCAAGUCACUGCCUUGAUAGUCCCAUCACCUUAACCAUUUGACCACCUUGUCAUAUGGUGACAUUCAGUUAGCACGGCCAAAAAGUAAAUAGAUUUAAAAAAAAAAAAAAAAUACCUCAUAAACAAAAGCAAAAAGAUAGGAGGGUUUCUGCCAGACUCCUAAGAGACAUAUUUCUAAAAAUCCGUAUAAUUCAUGAGUAUUAUUAUUCACCCACCAUAUACCUCUCCCUACUGGGCUAUAAGCCAUAUAAAGGAAGGGACAUGGAGGCAAAGUAGCCACUGGAAAACAGUAAAACAAAGAGUAGUUCAGGACAGUAUAGCAACAAAGCAAAUGUGCUUGAACAGUCAUGACCACUGCUUUGAAACCUGCUUUUUAAAGUUAUAUAUGGACCGUCUGCCUGAGAGAAGAGGCGUAAGCUAGGGAGAUGGCAGUAGCUUGUUACUUCUUCCUUCCUAGAGGCAGCUUUUUGUUUUAAUCCUGGCAAAAUACAUACAAAGUUUACCCAUCUUAACCAUUUUUAGGUGUACAAUUCAGUGGUUUUGAGUACAUUCACGUUAUUGUGCGACCAUCACCACCAUGCAUCUCUAGAACUGUUUCCAUCUUCCCCAGCUGAAAUUCUGUCCCCACUGAACACUAACUUCCACCCAACCCAGCCCCUAGACCCCAGUAAGCACCAUCCUACUUCCUGUGAAUCUGACUACUUUGGGGAACUCAUGUAAGUGGAAUCAUGCAGUAAUUGUCUUUUUGUGACUGGCCUCUUUCACUUCCCGUAGUAUCCUUAUCUGUGUUGUACCAUAUGUCAGUUCCCUACCUUUUUAAGACUAAUACUCUGUUCUACCACAUUUUAUUUACACAUAUAUUGGUACACAGGGGUGCUUCCUCCUUUGGCUGUUGUCAGUAAUGCUGUGCACAUGGGAGUACAAAUAGUAUCUCUUUGAGGGGCGCCUGAGUGUCUCAGUCGGUUGAGCAUCCCACUCUUGGUUUGGGCUCAGGUCAUGAUCUCACAGUUGGUGGGAUCGAGCCCACAUCGGGCUCUGCUGAUGGUGUGGAUCCUCCUUGGGAUUCUUUCUCUUCCUCUCUUUCUGCCCCUCCCCUGCUUGCACACGUGCACGCUCUCUAAAUAAAUAAAUAUAUGUAUAUCUUUGAGACUCUGUGGGCAGUUUUCAUCCAGCCUGGGGUCCCUUUCAUGUACAGUAGUCCCAGAAAUGUAGCAGGCCUCUUCUCCAGGCCAUAGAAUUUUAGAGCUGGAAUGACCCUCAAAGAUAACUAAUGUAACCCUCUUUAUUUCUAGUAAGUGCCAGAGGCGGGACUAGGCCCCAGGUUUGGUGGCACCUAGGACAGCCCAGCCGACCUUGACUUGCCUGAGGAGCCCUACAGUAGUAUUUACAAGGCAAUGGGCAAGUGCCUGGUUGUAUGCACAUUCCACAUUUGGGUUCUGCUGCCAUUAUUCUUUUAUGCUUCUCAACUCUUCUUUAUCACUCUUUGCUACAAAGAGCUCAACUCUAUUGCUGUCUGCAUAGCAUUCCUUCACUAAAGGACUUAGUUUGCAGUCUAGAGCAUUCUGCAUAGUGCAUAUGUAGUAAAUAGUCUGACUCUAAAGCAGGAAUUCUUUUUUUUUUUUUUUAAUUAAAAAAAAUUAUUUUUAAGUUUAUUUUUGAGAGGGACAGUGACAGAGUGUGAGCAGGGUAGCAACAGGAGAGAGAGGGAGACACAGAAUCUGAAGCAGGCUCAAGGCUCCGAGCUAUCAGCAGAGCCCAACAUAGGAAUCAAACUCUCAAGCUGUGAGAUCAUGAUCUGAGCUGAAGUGAGAGGCUUAAGUGACUGAGCUACCCAGGUGCUGCUAAAGCAGGAAUUCUUAAAAUCAUUACUAUUUUUUACCAGAUACACGUACAUAGCUUGAAGUAGUUAUUAGGUUAUGAUUUUUUUUUUUAACUCUAAUUUUCAUUCUCCAGAAAUAAACCUUUCCAGUGCUUAGCUAUUUAUUCCACUGUUUAUAUCAGUGUUGAAAUAACAUACUUAUCUGUUGUCUUCCUCUAGCACACUUCUCACAUUUUAGUAUUUAACUUGUUAAAACAUGGAUUGCCAAGCCCACCCCCAGGAUUUCUGAAUCAGUGGGUCUGGGCACGGACCCAAGAAUUUGCAGUUUUCACAAGCUCCCCAUUAUGGCAGAUGCCCUGGUCUAGACAGCACACUUUGAGAACCACUGCUGUAUCCCGUAUCCUCUUACAGAACCUGUAGCAACUUGGUUAAAACAACAUCAGUAUUUGGUUUUUGGUUUUUUGGGUGUCUUUAAUGUUUACUUUUGAGAGAGAAACAGAACGGGAGCCGGGGAGGGGAAGAGAGGGUGGGAGACACAAAAUUUGAAGCAGGCUCCAGGCUCUGAGCUGUCAGCACAGAGCCUGAUGCAUGGCUCAAACCCACGAACCAUGAAAUCAUGACCUGAGCCGAAGUCGGACGCUUAACCGACUGAGCCACCCAGCCACCCCGGGGAUGCAGAUACUUUUCAAGAUAGUCUCUUCAUUUUCUUCAGAUGAAUACCCAGAAGUUGAACUGCUGGGUCAUAUAGGAGUUCUAUUUUUAAUUUUGUUGAAGAUCCUCCGUACUGUUUUCCAUAGUGGCUGCACCAGUUUAUAGUUUCACCAGUAAUGCACAAGAGUUCCCUUUUCUCCACAUCCAUGCCAGUACUUGUGUCUUUGUCUUUUUCAUGAUGGCCAUGCUAACAUGUGUGAGGUGAUAUUCUAUGGUUGUACUUCCCCAGUGAUUAGAGAUGCUGAGUGAGAUGCUUAUCUCUCACUAUCACAUACCUAUUGGCCUUUCGUAUAUCUUUUUUGGAGAAAUCUUCUAUUCAGGUCUUUUGCCCAAUUUUUAAUUGUAUUUUUUGGCUUUCUGGUAUGGAGUUUUAGUCUUCUGUGGAUAUAUUGUGGCGUGGGGAGUUUUCAUUUGUUUGUAAACAGGCUUCACACCCAGCGUGGAGCCCAAGGUGGAACUUGAGCCCAUGACCCUGAGAUCAAGACCUGAGCUGAGAUCAGGAGUCAAGUUGGAUGCUUAAUUGGUGCACCAGGGUGGCUCAGGCAGUUAAGCAUCUGGCUUCUGAUUUCGGCUCAGGUCAUGAUCUCACAGUUUGUGAGUUCAAGCCCCAUGUCAGUUUCUGGGCUGACAGUGUGGAACCUGCUUGGGAUUCCCUCUCUGCCUUUCUCUCUGCCCGUUUCCUGCUCAUGCACAUGCACACGCAUAUGUGCUCAGUCUCAAAAUAAAUAAAUUUAAAACAAAUCUAUAAAAACAAGAGACAACCCACUGAGCCAUGUAGGCAUCCCUGGAUAUUUUGGAUAUUAACUCCUCUUCUGAUGUAUGAUUUGCAAAUAUUUUUUUCCCAUUUUGUAAGGUUGUCUUUUUACUUUGUUGAUUAUUUUGCUAUGCAGAAACUUUUUAGUUAAUGCUGUCCUGCUAACUUAUUUUUUGUUACUUUUGCUUUAGAUGUCACAACCAAAAAAUCUUUGUCAAGACUCAUGUCAAAGAGUUUUUUUUUAAGUUUAUUUUCAGAGAGGGAAUGCACGUGUGUAUGAGUGGUGGAGGGAGAGACAGAAGGAGAGAAUCCCAAGCAGGCAUGAAGCAUGAGAAUCAUCACCUGAACCGAAAUCAAGAGUCAGACACGUAAUCAGUUGAGCCACCCAGGCACCCAAAUAGCUUGUUUUCAUAUAUUUUCCUCUAGGAGUUUCAAUAGUUUCAGAUCUUAUAUUUAAGUGUUUAAUGCAAUUGAAGUUAGUUUUUUUGAGUGGUAUAAGAUAAGGGUCUAAUUUUAUUCUUUUACAUGUUAAUGUCCAGUUUACUCAGCACCAUUUAUUAAAGAGACAGUCUUUUCUCCAUUGAGUAUUCUUGGCUCCCUUGCCGAAUACUAGUUAACUGUAUAUGCUUGAGUUUAUUUCUGGGCUUUUGAUUCCAUUGACCUAUUUGUUUUUAUGUCAGUACCAUCUAUUCGUUUUUAUGCCAUUACUAUAGCUUAAUAGCUUGAAAUUAAAAAGUAGGAUUCCUGGGGCGCCUGGGUGGCUCAGUCAUCCGACUUCACCUCAGGUCAUGAUCUCACAGUUCAUGAGUUCGAGCCCCGCAUCGGGCUCUGUGCUGACAGUGCAGAGCCUGGAACUUGCUUCUGAUUCUUUGGUCUUCCUCUCUCUCUUCCCCUCCCCCAUUCAUGGUCUGUCUUUCUCUCUCAAAAAAAACAUUUAAAAAAGAAUACUUUAAAAAAAAAAAGUAGGAUUCCUUCCACUUUGUUCUUCUUUCUCAGGAUUGCUUUGGCCAUUCAGGGUCUUUGGUGGUUCCAUAUACAUUUUAGGACUCUUUUUUCUAUUUUUGUCAAAAAAAAAAAAAAAAAAGGCCAUUGGAAUCUUGAUAGGAAUUGCAUUGAACCUAUAGAUGGCUUUGGUAGUAUUAAAAUUUUAACAAUGUUAAUUAUUCUAAUCUAUGAACAAGAUACCUUUCCAUUUAUUUGUAUUCUCAGUUUCUUUCAUCACUGUCUUGUUUUCAGAGUAGAGAUCGUUCACCUCCUUGGUUAAGUUCAUGAGUAUUUUAUUGUUUUUGUUAUCAUAAGGAUCAUUUUAUUUCUUUUUUAAUAAUUCAUUCUUAGUGUAUAGAAACACUACUGAUUUUCAUUAAUUUUGUAUCCUGCAACUUUAAUGAAUUCACUGUUUAGAUCUAAGCUUUUUGAUGAAACCUUUAGGAUUUUCUGUGUAUAACAUCUUGUCAUCUGCAAAUAGAGACAAUUUUAGUUUUUCCGUUCCAGUUCUGAUGCCUUUUUUUUUUCCUUGCCUGGUUGCUUUGGCAACAACUUGUAGUAUUACAUUGAAAAAGAAUGGUAAGAGUGGGUACCCUUUUCUUAUUGCUUAUUUUCAAGGAAGAGCUUUUAGCCUUUCACCAUGGGGUAUUGUACUAGCUGUGGGCUUAUCACAUGACUUUUAUUAUUGAGGUAUGUUCCUUCUAUACCUAAUCUGUUAAGCAUUAUCACAAACAGAUCACAUUGGUUGAUUUGCAUAUGUUGAACCGUCCGUGCAUUCCAUGUCUGAAUCCUGCUUGAUCAUGGUGAAUGAUCCUUUUAGUGUACUGCCAAAUUCAGUUUGCAUCUAUAUUCAUCAGGGUUAUUUGUCCAAAGUUAUUUUCUGGUAGUAGCCUUUUCUGGCUUUGGUAUAAGGGCAGUUGUUGGCCUUGUAAAAUGAGUGUGUGGGUGUAUUUCCUCCUCGUAAAAAAAAAAUUUUUUUUUGGAAGAUUUUGAGGAUUGGUAUUCAUUCCUUACAUGUUAGCUUAAAUUCACCAGUGAAGCCAUCUGGCCCUGGGCUUUUUUUAUACAAGGAGAUUUUCAAUUAUUAUUCAGUCUCCUUACUGUUGAGAUAUUCUAUUUCAGAAAAUUUUUUAAUUUUUAUAAAAUUUUUUAUUCAUAUUUUUUGUUUCUUCCUGAUUGUCUUGGUAACAUUUCUAAGAAUUUGUCCAUUUUUUCUAGCUUGUUCAGUUUGUUGACAUAGAGUUGUUUCAUAGUAGUUUCUUAUUUUUCUUUGUAUUUCUGUGAUGAUCAGUUGUAAUAUCUCCUUUCUCAUUUAUAAUUUUGUUGUUUUGGGUCCUCUUUUUUCUUUGGUUAAUCUAGGUAAACUUUGUUAGUUUUGUCAACCAACCAACUCUUCUGGUCAAUCUUUUCUAUUUUCUUCUCUAUUUCAUUUAUUUCUGCUCUAAUAUUUAUUAUUUGCUAGCUUUGGACAAAGUUUGUUCUUUUCUGAUUCCUUAAGGCAUAGAGUUAGGUUAUUUGGGAUAGGUCUUGUUUCUGAAUGUAGGCAUUAAUUGCUGUGAACUUCCAAGAACUGCUUUUGCUGCAUCCUGUAAGUUUUGGUAUAUUGUGUUUUUCAUUUGAUUCAAAAUAAUUUCAGUGUUUAAUUUGCAUGUGUUUGUGAAUUUCUCAGUUUCCUCUUGCUAUUGAUAUCUUGCUGUAUUCAUACCAUUGUGGUUAGAGAAGAUAAUUGGUUUAAUUUUUUUUAAUUUGCUAAGACUCGUUUUGUGGUGUAACAUAUAGGAAAUGUUCCAUGUGCACUUAAUGUAUGUUCUGCUGUCAGAAGGUUAUGUACAUGUUAGGCCCAUUUGUUCUGUACUAUUGUUCAAAUCCACUGUUUCCUUAUUAUCUGUCUGGAUGAUCUCCAUUGUUGAGAGUAUUAAAGUCCCCAACCAUU